rnacentral:rRNA from 1 species
CGUGCCUAAUACAUGCAAGUCGAACGCUUCUUUUUCCACCGGAGCUUGCUCCACCGGAAAAAGAGGAGUGGCGAACGGGUGAGUAACACGUGGGUAACCUGCCCAUCAGAAGGGGAUAACACUUGGAAACAGGUGCUAAUACCGUAUAACAAUCGAAACCGCAUGGUUUUGAUUUGAAAGGCGCUUUCGGGUGUCGCUGAUGGAUGGACCCGCGGUGCAUUAGCUAGUUGGUGAGGUAACGGCUCACCAAGGCCACGAUGCAUAGCCGACCUGAGAGGGUGAUCGGCCACAUUGGGACUGAGACACGGCCCAAACUCCUACGGGAGGCAGCAGUAGGGAAUCUUCGGCAAUGGACGAAAGUCUGACCGAGCAACGCCGCGUGAGUGAAGAAGGUUUUCGGAUCGUAAAACUCUGUUGUUAGAGAAGAACAAGGAUGAGAGUAACUGUUCAUCCCUUGACGGUAUCUAACCAGAAAGCCACGGCUAACUACGUGCCAGCAGCCGCGGUAAUACGUAGGUGGCAAGCGUUGUCCGGAUUUAUUGGGCGUAAAGCGAGCGCAGGCGGUUUCUUAAGUCUGAUGUGAAAGCCCCCGGCUCAACCGGGGAGGGUCAUUGGAAACUGGGAGACUUGAGUGCAGAAGAGGAGAGUGGAAUUCCAUGUGUAGCGGUGAAAUGCGUAGAUAUAUGGAGGAACACCAGUGGCGAAGGCGGCUCUCUGGUCUGUAACUGACGCUGAGGCUCGAAAGCGUGGGGAGCAAACAGGAUUAGAUACCCUGGUAGUCCACGCCGUAAACGAUGAGUGCUAAGUGUUGGAGGGUUUCCGCCCUUCAGUGCUGCAGCUAACGCAUUAAGC